rnacentral:rRNA from 1 species
GAUGAACGCUGGCGGCGUGCCUAAUACAUGCAAGUCGAGCGAACGGACGCGAAGCUUGCUUCUCUGAUGUUAGCGGCGGACGGGUGAGUAACACGUGGAUAACCUACCUAUCUGACUGGGAUAACUUCGAGAAACCGUAGAUAAUACCGGAUAAUCUUUUGAACCGCAUGGUUCAAUAGUGAAAGACGGUCUUGCUGUCACGUAUAGAUGGUUCCGCGCUGCAUUAGCUAGUUGGUACGGUCACGGCUUAUCAAGGCAACGAUGCAUAGCCGACCUGAGAGGGGGGUAGGCGACACUGGAGGUGGGACGGCGUCAAGGCGCCUACGAGACGGAGCAGAAGGGAAUCGUCGGCAGUGGGGGAAAGUCUGACGGAGCAAGGCGGAGUCAGUGGUGGAGGCCUCCGGAGCGUAAAGCUCGGUUAUUAGGGGAGAACAGCUGUGGAAGUUACUGAGCACAUCUUGACGGUACCUAGUCAGGAAGCACCGGCUAACUACGUG